rnacentral:rRNA from 1 species
GAACGCUGGCGGCAGGCCUAACACAUGCAAGUCGAGCGGUAGCACAGAGAGCUUGCUCUCGGGUGACGAGCGGCGGACGGGUGAGUAAUGUCUGGGAAACUGCCUGAUGGAGGGGGAUAACUACUGGAAACGGUAGCUAAUACCGCAUAACGUCGCAAGACCAAAGUGGGGGACCUUCGGGCCUCAUGCCAUCAGAUGUGCCCAGAUGGGAUUAGCUAGUAGGUGGGGUAACGGCUCACCUAGGCGACGAUCCCUAGCUGGUCUGAGAGGAUGACCAGCCACACUGGAACUGAGACACGGUCCAGACUCCUACGGGAGGCAGCAGUGGGGAAUAUUGCACAAUGGGCGCAAGCCUGAUGCAGCCAUGCCGCGUGUGUGAAGAAGGCCUUCGGGUUGUAAAGCACUUUCAGCGGGGAGGAAGGCGGUGAGGUUAAUAACCUCAUCGAUUGACGUUACCCGCAGAAGAAGCACCGGCUAACUCCGUGCCAGCAGCCGCGGUAAUACGGAGGGUGCAAGCGUUAAUCGGAAUUACUGGGCGUAAAGCGCACGCAGGCGGUCUGUCAAGUCGGAUGUGAAAUCCCCGGGCUCAACCUGGGAACUGCAUUCGAAACUGGCAGGCUAGAGUCUUGUAGAGGGGGGUAGAAUUCCAGGUGUAGCGGUGAAAUGCGUAGAGAUCUGGAGGAAUACCGGUGGCGAAGGCGGCCCCCUGGACAAAGACUGACGCUCAGGUGCGAAAGCGUGGGGAGCAAACAGGAUUAGAUACCCUGGUAGUCCACGCCGUAAACGAUGUCGAUUUGGAGGUUGUGCCCUUGAGGCGUGGCUUCCGGAGCUAACGCGUUAAAUCGACCGCCUGGGGAGUACGGCCGCAAGGUUAAAACUCAAAUGAAUUGACGGGGGCCCGCACAAGCGGUGGAGCAUGUGGUUUAAUUCGAUGCAACGCGAAGAACCUUACCUGGUCUUGACAUCCACAGAACUUUCCAGAGAUGGAUUGGUGCCUUCGGGAACUGUGAGACAGGUGCUGCAUGGCUGUCGUCAGCUCGUGUUGUGAAAUGUUGGGUUAAGUCCCGCAACGAGCGCAACCCUUAUCCUUUGUUGCCAGCGGUUAGGCCGGGAACUCAAAGGAGACUGCCAGUGAUAAACUGGAGGAAGGUGGGGAUGACGUCAAGUCAUCAUGGCCCUUACGACCAGGGCUACACACGUGCUACAAUGGCAUAUACAAAGAGAAGCGACCUCGCGAGAGCAAGCGGACCUCAUAAAGUAUGUCGUAGUCCGGAUUGGAGUCUGCAACUCGACUCCAUGAAGUCGGAAUCGCUAGUAAUCGUAGAUCAGAAUGCUACGGUGAAUACGUUCCCGGGCCUUGUACACACCGCCCGUCACACCAUGGGAGUGGGUUGCAAAAGAAGUAGGUAGCUUAACCUUCGGGAGGGCGCUUACCACUUUGUGAUUCAUGACUGGGGUGAAG